AGUGAACGCUGGCGGUAGGCCUAACACAUGCAAGUCGAACGGCAGCACAGUAAGAGCUUGCUCUUACGGGUGGCGAGUGGCGGACGGGUGAGGAAUACAUCGGAAUCUACUUUUUCGUGGGGGAUAACGUAGGGAAACUUACGCUAAUACCGCAUACGACCUACGGGUGAAAGCAGGGGAUCUUCGGACCUUGCGCGAUUGAAUGAGCCGAUGUCGGAUUAGCUAGUUGGCGGGGUAAAGGCCCACCAAGGCGACGAUCCGUAGCUGGUCUGAGAGGAUGAUCAGCCACACUGGAACUGAGACACGGUCCAGACUCCUACGGGAGGCAGCAGUGGGGAAUAUUGGACAAUGGGCGCAAGCCUGAUCCAGCCAUACCGCGUGGGUGAAGAAGGCCUUCGGGUCGUAAAGCCCUUUUGUUGGGGAAGAAAAGCAGCAGGUUAAUACCCCGCUGUUCUGACGGUACCCAAAGAAUAAGCACCGGCUAACUUCGUG
rnacentral:rRNA from 1 species